CUCUUGAAAAAUAUUAUUAUUGACGCCAGUAACAAUUCUUGCACAUGGCAAAAAAAAGUAUGCUUGAUCUUCGUUGAAACUGGCAUAUAUACAUAUAUAUCCAUAUAUUUUUCUUUGAGUCUUUCCUUUCCUCUUGCAGGCCCUGCAGGUUAUUACCCACGCUCUUAGUCUCCAUGGUGACGAUGCUGACCUUUAUUAUCAUCAAGGAAAUUUGCAUAAAGACUUGAAAAACAUGCAACAGGCUAAGGAAAGUUUUAAGAUAGCGGUGCAGCUGGACCCAGAGCACUCGAGUGCUCAUUUGAAUCUUGGUGUUAUAUUCCACCUUGAGGGUAAACAUGCAGAAGCUAGACAUCAUUAUGAGAUCGCAGCGAAGUUUGAUGCAGACAACCCCACUUUAAAACAAAACCUAGCAAAGCUACAACGCGUAGAGAAGAAGAAAAAGAGUUAGCAGAAGAAUAAUGUGCGGCGGUCAAAAUGGACACAUCAAAGAUGAACUGUUCAAGAAAAUCAGUGAAAUGUUUUGGUUCAAAACCACUUAAUAUGACUAUGUGAUUUUCUAAUGGUUCUCCAUGUUUUACUUUUAUCAACGAGAUAAAUAGGAGAAUCUUUGUUUGCAAUAUUUGCCUCAUUAGCAUAAGCGAUACAGUUUCUGGUAGAGCUACAAAAACAUUAGUUCUGAAUAUUGCAAGGGCACAGCACGAUUAACUGUCCCAAGGAAUUUGAGGCCGAUGUUUUGAAUACAUUUUGAGCUACGCGGGUUUAAAAACUCGAAAUCUUACAAAGAAUGUAUGAGCUCAUUAGCGCUUUUGCCACCCAGAAAUAUUGCAUUUUUUGAAAACCAAUUUCUUUUCGAAUAUUACACCCAAAGAGCCAAACAUUUCACCAAUUACGUAGUUUCAAAAGUUCAUUAAAAUGUUUGUAGUCAAUUCGUGUCUAGCGUGGUACCCUCUCUGCGCAAAGUCGUAUGUUGAUGAGGA